ACUCAACACUAAUUCUUUAAAAAGGGUGAGUUUAAGUUGUAAAAGCGAGCUGUCUUUGAGCAGAUACUUGAUCAGCUUGGUAUCCCUAAACUUGUUUUAAGGAGUUU
rnacentral:sRNA from 1 species